rnacentral:rRNA from 1 species
CCUACGGGGGGCUGCAGUGAGGAAUAUUGGUCAAUGGACGAGAGUCUGAACCAGCCAAGUAGCGUGAAGGAUGACUGCCCUAUGGGUUGUAAACUUCUUUUAUAUGGGAAUAAAAUGUUGCAUGUGUGGGAUUUUGUAUGUACCAUAUGAAUAAGGAUCGGCUAACUCCGUGCCAGCAGCCGCGGUAAUACGGAGGAUCCGAGCGUUAUCCGGAUUUAUUGGGUUUAAAGGGAGCGUAGGUGGAAUGUUAAGUCAGUUGUGAAAGUUUGCGGCUCAACCGUAAAAUUGCAGUUGAUACUGGCAGUCUUGAGUGCAGUAGAGGUAGGCGGAAUUCGUGGUGUAGCGGUGAAAUGCUUAGAUAUCACGAAGAACUCCGAUUGCGAAGGCAGCUUACUGGACUGCAACUGACACUGAGGCUCGAAAGUGUGGGUAUCAAACAGGAUUAGAUACCCGUGUAGUC